rnacentral:rRNA from 1 species
GAUGAACGCUGGCGGCGUGCUUAACACAUGCAAGUCGAACGGAAAGGCCCAAGCUUGCUUGGGUACUCGAGUGGCGAACGGGUGAGUAACACGUGGGUGAUCUGCCCUGCACUUCGGGAUAAGCCUGGGAAACUGGGUCUAAUACCGGAUAGGACCACUUCUUGGAUGUUGUGGUGGAAAGUUUUUUCGGUGUGGGAUGAGCUCGCGGCCUAUCAGCUUGUUGGUGGGGUAAUGGCCUACCAAGGCGUCGACGGGUAGCCGGCCUGAGAGGGUGUACGGCCACAUUGGGACUGAGAUACGGCCCAGACUCCUACGGGAGGCAGCAGUGGGGAAUAUUGCACAAUGGGCGCAAGCCUGAUGCAGCGACGCCGCGUGGGGGAUGACGGCCUUCGGGUUGUAAACUCCCUUCGCUAGGGACGAAGCGUUUUGUGACGGUACCUGGAGAAGAAGCACCGGCUAACUACGUG